rnacentral:tRNA from 1 species
UGCCCGUUCGUCUAGCGGCAGGACGCUGGAAUUUGACUCCAGAAACUGAGGUUCGAAUCCUCAACGGGCAUCCA